AUGUUUUAUAUUUUAUUUCUGAAUUUGUGUAGCGCCGGCUACGCUAAUUAUUUUGUUUACGUCCCCUUUGGUUAUUUCGGGGGUUGCAUGCUAUCAGAUAAUAGCUUCUCAUGCUUUCGCCGAAAAGCAUUUUAAAAAUCUGACAUGUUGGCUAGAUUCACAACGAGUGUAGCUUUAAUUGAGUACCCUGCAUGUGUGUUUUAAUGAAAGUUUUAGUUGUAUCGAGUACUAUUUGUUGUCACUCUGAAAUUUCCGCUGAUGUCCGCUGAUGUUGAUCCCUGUACAGGGACAGCAGCCGUAACAGGCUAAAGACUAGGAACCCAGACUUCACCAAAGACAUCUGAAAUACAGACAUUGUACUGGGCGACUCACUUUUACUUGAGUAAUUUUCUAUUUAGGUAUCUUUACUUUUACUCAAGUGUGAGAAUUGGGUACUUUUUCCACUAAUGAUUUAAACACUUGCCACGUGUCCAAACUUUUUACAAAUGUAACACGGCAGCGGCUUCUGUACCUUUUCUGUGAACACACCCCGUGGCGCAAAGAAAGUGAGGCCCGGCGCGCACCGGCUGAGGUGGGAUCCCGGUCCUCCAGGUGCCCGCUCUCUCGGGGAGGUGGAGCGUGAGCGUGUGCGAUAGGAUGGUGAACUAUGCCUGGGCAGGGCGUAGCCAGAGGAAACUCUGGUGGAGGUCCGUAGCAGUCCUGACGUGCAAAUCAGUCAUCCGACCUGGGUAUAGGGGCGAUAGACUAAUCGAACCAUCUAGUAGCUGGUUCCAUCCGAAGUUUCCCUCAGGAUAGCUGGUGCUCGAAGUCUCGCCGUUUUAUCUGGUAAAGCGAAUGAUUAGAGGUCUUGGGGCCGAAACGAUCUCAACCUAUUCGAAAACGUUAAAUGGGUAAGAAGCCCUGCUCACUGGCUUGGAGCCGGGCGUGGAAUGCGAGCCGCCUAGUGGGCCACUUUUGGUAAGCAGAACUGACCCAAUGCCGACGCUCAUCAGACCCCAGAAAAGGUGUUGGUCGAUAUAGACAGCAGGACGAUGGCCAUGGGAGUCAAAAUCCGCUAAGGAGUGUGUAACAACUCACCUGCAGAAUCAACUAGCCCUGAAAAUGGAUGGCGCUGGAGCGUCGGGCCCAUACCUAGCCAUCGCCAGCCACGGGAGCCUCGAGGGCUACGCCGCGACGAGUAGGAGGGCCGCCACGGUGAGCACAGAAGCCUAGGGUGCGGGCCCGGGUGGAGCCGCUGCGGGUGCAGAUCUCGGUGGUAGUAGCAAAUAUUCAAGGCCAAAGUGGAGAAGGGUUCCACGUGAACAGCAGUUGAACAUGGGUCAGUCGGUCCUGAGAGAUGGGCGAACGUCGUUCGGAAGGGAGAGGCGAUGGCCUCCCGGCCGAUCGAAAGGAAAUCGGGUUCAGAUCCCCAAAUCCGGAGUAGCGGAGUGCGGUAAAGAGACCGAUCCCGGAGAAGCUGGCGGGAGCCCCGGGGAGAGUUCUCAUUUCUUUGUGAAGGGCAGGGCACCCUGGAAAGGGUUCGCCACCGAGAGAGGGGCCCAAGCCCUGGAAAGCGUUGCAGUUCUGGCGGCGUCCGGUGAGCUCUCGCUGGCAAGUGAAAAUCCAGGGGGAGGGUGUAAAUGUCACACCGGGCCGUACCCAUAUCUGCAGCAGGUGUCGAUCUAUAAGACAAGAUAAUGGUGAAGUGGGCAAUCAAAUACAGUAAAUCAAAUACAGUAAAUCAAAUACAGUAAAUCAAAUACAGUACAAGAAAGGGGAACAAUAUAUAACCGUAAACAAAAAACGGUUGCCGGUCGGAGGGCCGUCGUGCGAAAUAGACCAAUGAGGAGUGGGUAAACGGUGCGAGACUCUACGACCCUCCGAAGACGGGAUAGGCUCAAUGUCGCCCCCCACCUUCGGCGUGGAGCACCCGUAUGCUCUUGUUUCAACCUCAAACCUUUCUGCGUAAUAUACCCUCUCGCUCUGGCGAAGGGUGGGCGGGGAAAGGAGGGCAACCUCCCCAACCCUACCUAGCCACCAACCUCUGUGAGAAAAUAAUGUCUACGUCUUUGUGAUGCGCAAGACUCUACGACUCUCCGAAGACGGGAUAGGCUCCUCCUUUCCCUCGGUAUGGGGUUCUGAGCCGGGAGGGUGGCUUCGGCCCUCGCCCGAGCUCAGUUCCCCGCAUUGCCACAUCGCCUGGGUUGCGCCCGACCAGCUCAAUUCCCCCUUUCCCGGUUAGGCACGGCCGUAUGGUGCACCUGUGGUCCCUUCUUGCAUGACACCUGGCUGAGGCAGGUCGAACUGUCUCUGAUAUGGGUACGGAUAUGGGUUAGUUCAGGGAGGUAAGGGAGGUAGCCCUCUAGUAGAGUGCUUCAAACCCCUCCUUGUAGGUCACCUGUUCUCAGGUGUUGAUAACGAUGCAAACAAGUGUAGCCAACCAGAGAAUGGUAGCUCGAACACAUCCCCGGCUCUGGCUGGGAGGAGGGAACUAAGUUCAGAGAGAUGGCUGAAAGAGCUCCGGCUGGGAGGAGGGAACUAAGUUCAGAGAGACGACUCGAAGGAGCUCCGGCUGGGAGGAGGGAACUAAGUUCAGAGAGACGACUGAAGGAGCUACGGCUGGGAGGAGGGAACUAAGUUCAGAGAGACGGCUGAAAGAGCUUCGGCAGAGGAGGGAAUUAAGUUCAGAGAGACGACUGAAGGAGCUUCGACAACAUUAGUCCGAUC
rnacentral:rRNA from 1 species